CUCCAGGUGACUCUCACCCUUUCUGACAGGAUAUGCUAUGAGAAGAUUGUCAUUCAAACAGCCCAGAAACAAGAACUGAACAGCACUAACAUCAAACAAAAGCAGCCCCUGGAUUUUCUGACAAACCAGAAAUAAUUUUCCAGAUGCAGGCAGCAUACUCAAGUUGGCAUUUGCUCAUGGCCAUGGGGUAGAAAGAAGAAGGCUGAAGGCAAAGGGGUACCAAGGAAUAAAAGAUUGAUGAAGGCUGUGUUAAAGAAGUGGUGUUCCAGCUGAGCCUGAAAGCAAAGGUCAAGUUUGAAUUGAUAGAGGUGAGAAAAGAAGACAUUCUAGAUGAGAAGGGCAACGUGAGGCAACGUGAGGAAAAUCCUAAGGGUGAAAGUAAGCAGGGUUCCAGGGAUACAUGUGCAGGUUUCUUACAUGGGAUACAUUGCAUGUCACUGAGGAUUGGUGUACAAUGAUCCCGUCACCCAGAUCUGCUCUGCACCCUUUCCAUCUGUCCUCAGCCAGGAAAACUGACCUAUAAGGACCAUAUCACCUGGGUUCCUGUGACUUCUGGCUUCGAGUUGAAGACCGUCAAUGGGGAACAUGAUUAGCAGACUGGGGCAGAGGACAAGGAAGAAGAGUAAGGGUGGGGUAUUUAUUACUUUUGAUAUCCGUCUGCAAUGUUGUCUUGGGCUGGGCAUGCCCCUUGACUGAAGCUCUCUAUCCUUCCAGGUUCAGGCAACUGACUCCUCUCGCUCAUUUCUUCAAGCCUAGGAAUGUUCCACCUGUCUCCAAGUUCCUGCAUUUUCCCUUGUGGUAAUGCUAUAUUCACACUCAACCUGUUGUAAAUAAAUCCUGAUUAAAAUCACCUUGAGUGUACUUUCCGUUUUCAGAUGGAACACUGAUUGACAGAACCAUUCACACCCCAGUCAUAAAUCAGCCCUAGAUUUAAUAUGAGUCUAUCUUCU
rnacentral:lncRNA from 1 species